UACAGAGGGGGCAAGCGUUGUUCGGAAUUACUGGGCGUAAAGGGUGCGUAGGCGGGUCUUUAAGUCAGGGGUGAAAUCCUGGAGCUCAACUCCAGAACUGCCUUUGAUACUGAAGAUCUUGAGUUCGGGAGAGGUGAGUGGAACUGCGAGUGUAGAGGUGAAAUUCGUAGAUAUUCGCAAGAACACCAGUGGCGAAGGCGGCUCACUGGCCCGAUACUGACGCUGAUGCACGAAAGCGUGGGGAGCAAACAGG
rnacentral:rRNA from 1 species